rnacentral:rRNA from 1 species
AUUGAACGCUAGCGGCAUGCCUAACACAUGCAAGUCGAACGGCAGCGGGGGGAGCUUUGCUCCCUGACGGCGAGUGGCGGACGGGUGAGUAACACGUAGGAAUCUACCUUAAUUAUAUAGUUAGUGGGGGGAUACCCGGGGAAACUCGGGCUAAUACCGCAUAAUCUCUUCAAAGCAAAGCGGGGGAUCUUCGGACCUCGUGCUAUGAGAUGAGCCUGCGUCGGAUUAGCUAGUUGGUAGGGUAAUGGCCUACCAAGGCGACGAUCCGUAGCUGGUCUGAGAGGACGAUCAGCCACACUGGGACUGAGACACGGCCCAGACUCCUACGGGAGGCAGCAGUGGGGAAUAUUGGACAAUGGGGGAAACCCUGAUCCAGCAAUGCCGCGUGUGUGAAGAAGGCCUUCGGGUUGUAAAGCACUUUCAGUGGGGAAGAAAUUCUCAAGGCUAAUCCCUUUUGAGCGUUGACGUUACCCACAGAAGAAGCACUGGCUAACUCUGUGCCAGCAGCCGCGGUAAUACAGAGAGUGCAAGCGUUAAUCGGAAUCACUGGGCGUAAAGCGCGCGUAGGUGGAUAUUUAAGUCGGAUGUGAAAGCCCUAGGCUUAACCUGGGAAUUACAUCCGAUACUAGGUAUCUCGAGUAUGAUAGAGGGAAGUGGAAUUUCCGGUGUAGCGGUGAAAUGCGUAGAUAUCGGAAAGAACAUCAGUGGCGAAGGCGGCUUCCUGGAGCAAUACUGACACUGAGGCGCGAAAGCGUGGGGAGCAAACAGGAUUAGAGACCCUGGUAGUCCACGCCGUCAACGAUGAGAACUAGCUGUUGGAAAGUUUACUUUCUAGUAGCAAAGCUAACGCGUUAAGUUCUCCGCCUGGGGAGUACGGCCGCAAGGUUAAAACUCAAAGAAAUUGACGGGGGCCCGCACAAGCGGUGGAGCAUGUGGUUUAAUUCGAUGCAACACGAAAAACCUUACCUACCCUUGACAUCCUCGGAACUUGUCAGAAAUGACUUGGUGCCUUUGGGAACCGAGUGACAGGUGCUGCAUGGCUGUCGUCAGCUCGUGUCGUGAGAUGUUGGGUUAAGUCCCGUAACGAGCGCAACCCUCGUCCUUAGUUGCCAGCGGUUCGGCCGGGAACUCUAAGGAGACUGCCGGUGAUAAACCGGAGGAAGGUGAGGAUGAUGUCAAGUCAUCAUGGCCCUUACGGGUAGGGCUACACACGUGCUACAAUGGGCAGUACAAAGGGUUGCCAAACCGUGAGGUAAAGCUAAUCCCAAAAAGCUGCUCGUAGUCCGGAUUGGAGUCUGCAACUCGACUCCAUGAAGUUGGAAUCGCUAGUAAUCGCGAAUCAGAAUGUCGCGGUGAAUACGUUCUCGGGCCUUGUACACACCGCCCGUCACACCAUGGGAGUG